rnacentral:lncRNA from 1 species
CAGCUCGUGGGUGUGUACUCUAGCGAUGCAAUUUGUGGGUUCUCAACGGACAGCAGUGCGAUUUGGCUUACAGGGCAGGGCAUAAUUGAUAGACGGUGGAUUAUGGUUGAUGUUGAUGCAGUGCAAAACGCCUCUUCAUGCAGUUCUUUGGCUCUGGAGCGAGCAGUGGAGAGGACACCGGCAUGCAGCUCCCCAUCCCCCGUACUUGUCCACUGAACCUGUAGAAGCCCAUCUUGCUGCAGUGUAUAUGAGCAUAUGGCCUGCAAGUGUUCACUUCUGUUUUUCUGUUGCAAGGAUCGGUUCACCUCUUCGGUGGAAAAAAGAAGGAAAUUAAAACCCCACUCGUUGACGAGAUAACAACCCACGAGCAUCAUGCACGUGCAGUCCCUUUUGGGUAUGCUUGCAAUGCGGUGUGUGUAUGGGUGCAGUCCACCCCAUCGGUCAUCAAUGUAUUUUUUUGAGAAAAAGAUAUGUUUGUUG